rnacentral:rRNA from 1 species
UACAGAGGUCUCAAGCGUUGUUCGGAUUCAUUGGGCGUAAAGCGUGCGCAGGCGGCGCGUUAAGACAGGUGUGAAAGCCCCGAGCUUAACUUGGGAAUUGCGCUUGUGACUGGCGUGCUGGAGUGUGGCAGAGGGAGGUGGAAUUCCACGUGUAGCAGUGAAAUGCGUAGAGAUGUGGAGGAACACCGAUGGCGAAGGCAGCCUCCUGGGCCAGCACUGACGCUCAUGCACGAAAGCGUGGGGAGCAAACAGG